rnacentral:rRNA from 1 species
GUGCCAGCAGCCGCGGUAAGACAGAGGGUGCAAACGUUGUUCGGAAUUACUGGGCGUAAAGCGCGUGUAGGCAGCUUGGAAAGUCGGAUGUGAAAGCCCUGGGCUUAACCCAGGAAGUGCACUCGAAACUUCCAAGCUUGAGUUCUGGAGAGGGAAGCGGAAUUCUCGGUGUAGAGGUGAAAUUCGUAGAUAUCGAGAGGAACACCGGUGGCGAAGGCGGCUUCCUGGACAGUGACUGACGCUGAGACGCGAAAGCGUGGGGAGCAAACAGGAUUAGAUACCCGCGUAGUCC